UACGUAGGGUACGAGCGUUGUCCGGAAUUACUGGGCGUAAAGAGCUCGUAGGUGGUUUGUCGCGUUGUUCGUGAAAACUCACGGCUUAACUGUGAGCGUGCGGGCGAUACGGGCAGACUGGAGUACUGCAGGGGAGACUGGAAUUCCUGGUGUAGCGGUGGAAUGCGCAGAUAUCAGGAGGAACACCGGUGGCGAAGGCGGGUCUCUGGGCAGUAACUGACGCUGAGGAGCGAAAGCGUGGGGAGCGAACAGG
rnacentral:rRNA from 1 species